rnacentral:rRNA from 1 species
GAUGAACGCUGGCGGCGUGCCUAAUACAUGCAAGUCGAGCGAACAGACGAGGAGCUUGCUCCUCUGACGUUAGCGGCGGACGGGUGAGUAACACGUGGAUAACCUACCUAUAAGACUGGGAUAACUUCGGGAAACCGGAGCUAAUACCGGAUAAUAUAUUGAACCGCAUGGUUCAAUAGUGAAAGACGGUUUUGCUGUCACUUAUAGAUGGAUCCGCGCCGCAUUAGCUAGUUGGUAAGGUAACGGCUUACCAAGGCAACGAUGCGUAGCCGACCUGAGAGGGUGAUCGGCCACACUGGAACUGAGACACGGUCCAGACUCCUACGGGAGGCAGCAGUAGGGAAUCUUCCGCAAUGGGCGAAAGCCUGACGGAGCAACGUCGCGUGAGUGAUGAAGGUCUUCGGAUCGUAAAACUCUGUUAUUAGGGAAGAACAAAUGUGUAAGUAACUAUGCACGUCUUGACGGUACCUAAUCAGAAAGCCACGGCUAACUACGUG